AGAGUUUGAUCCUGGCUCAGGAUGAACGCUGGCGGCGUGCUUAACACAUGCAAGUCGAACGGACAUAGAGGGGCUUGCUCCUCUAUGUUAGUGGCGGACGGGUGAGUAACGCGUGAGCAACCUGCCCAUAUCAGGGGAAUAACACAGUGAAAAUUGUGCUAAUACCGCAUAAGACCACGAAGCGGCAUCGCUUUGCGGUAAAAGAUUUAUCGGAUAUGGAUGGGCUCGCGUCCCAUUAGAUAGUUGGCGGGGUAACGGCCCACCAAGUCGACGAUGGGUAGCCGACCUGAGAGGGUGAUCGGCCACAUUGGAACUGAGAAACGGCCCAGACUCCUACGGGAGGCAGCAGUGGGGAAUAUUGGGCAAUGGAGGCAACUCUGACCCAGCAACGCCGCGUGAAUGAUGAAGGUCUUCGGAUUGUAAAGUUCUGUGACGGGGGACGAACACAAUGACGGUACCCCGAUAGCAAGCCACGGCUAACUACGUGCCAGCAGCCGCGGUAAUACGUAGGUGGCAAGCGUUAUCCGG
rnacentral:rRNA from 1 species